ensembl:lncRNA
GCUGGUAGGCUAACUGCUAACAUGUUGGCUGAGUGAGCAUGCUUAUCAUGUUCUUUAUAUAUUUACUGCUUUUAUAUAACUAUUUUUUCAUAUGUAUUAGUUAGCUAGCUAGCUUAGCUGCUAACUAAAAGUUAAAGCAGUUGAACCACACAAUAUCAGUACUUUUCCUUUCUACAUCUCUUUGUUAGUCAGUUAAUCUAUCCUUUUAGCUGCGUGUAGGGCUGUGUUAUCUAACUGGUAACAUGCCAGCUAGCCACAGUAGCUCACAAAUAUUAGCAGACUAGCUGUUUGGGUGUUUAUUGUUUUAAGUUAUUCAGUGGUGUGAUGUAAACAUUGAGCUAAAUUCUGCAACCAGUUAAAAUGGUCAUCUAAAUCACAUAAAUCUGAAGUGUCCUUUUCCAUGCAUCUUUGUGAAGCUGUUAGUCAUUUAGCAGACAACAAAAUGCUAACAUGCUGGCAUCCGCCAUUUUGCAGGAUUCUUAAAAUUUCUAUUUCCGUAACAGGUACAUUUAAAGCUUAAACAGUUUAAUUUUCACAAGUAAAUACUUGAGAACAGUCACAGAAAUCUAAUCACUGUAUACAGUCUUUGAGUCAGUUAAUGGAUUUUUUUUCUUUGGAAGAUUUGAAAAAUAUUGUUAUUUUUGUCAGGUUUUUUUUUUUUUUGUUUUGCCUGACGUAAGUUUGUAUUGCCAAAAAACAAUGUCAGUGUUGUUACAGCUCUGUAUUUUGCACCAGCACUUUGACCGCUAUUUUUACCAGGCAUUUAUAGAGUUUUUGCAUAUUGUACAGUUUAGAUUUUUUUUUCUUUCUUACAUGUAAAGGAAAAAAAGUGGUAUCUGUCUUUUUGCAGUCGAAUGGAAGUCAAGCAGUUUGCUUUCACAGCGUGAUGUAAAUACACUCAAAUGUUUUCUUUUUUUUCUUUUUUUUUCGACAUGUUAAAAUAAAAAUCUGUAACUGAGUUUGACUGCUGUUAAUAAUUUAUUCUGAGAUUACAUUUUUACUUACGUUUGGAUCUGAUGAGGCUAGAUCAAGAUGUAAUAUCG